CGAGACUGUCACUUUGUCCGCACUGUUAUGGACUCAUACUUGUUAGUUAAGGCUUUCUCAGUUGAAAACCUUUCUGAACACAACUGUUAAGUCCAGACUUGGGGUGGGUGUCCAGGGUAUGAGGUGUUUGCUUGUGUUUUAGUUUAGCACAGGUGAGCUUGUUGCUUAGUGACAAAGACAACAUGAACAGAAUCUUUUGUGAUGACAGUUGGAAGUUGGAGAGGAAACCAUCUCAUCCCAACUGUGAUCUCACUACUAGACGGCAGUGCUGAAAGCACGCAGAGCUACAUGAAGACGGGCUGACGUUGGCGUGAAGGCCGGAGACUGUUUUCACACUGUAGUUACUUGGAAAUGUGCAGCCGUGUCGACAGAGACAAGAAGCCAAAGUAACAGGGACCUCACGUUCAUGCAGCUAUCAGAACGCAACUGAAAUGAAGACAGCGACAGAUCAGAUCCACACAUAGACAAGGCCUCACUGCUGGGAUUAGGCUCUGUGCCCACUAUUUUGGUCCACAUAAAGGCUGUUAGCAAGAAAGUAUUACUAAUGUAAACUAUGAGGAAUACUGGCUCAGCCGCUCCUGUGAGAAGCUUUGCACUCUCCACCGCCCCCCAGCAAUGCACAGCCCCACCUUUUCCAGCGCUUCACGGACCACUCUCUCUGUUUCCCGCUUGUGGUCCGACUUCAUCCUGUCUUUAAAGUCAUUAAAAAUUUUGGUGUACUUGUCGUGGCACAUGCUCUGACAGACGCCGUCGCUCGUCGUCUGAGUGCUUCGAUGCAGCAUUCGUGGGGAAGAGGCACUUAACUUCUUGGUCUGGGUUGACACUGACACCCUCUCAAUUGGCUGAGGCAUUGUGGGGAUUUCCUGGCUGGAACUCACUGCUUCCGUUUCUGGCUCGGG
rnacentral:lncRNA from 1 species